rnacentral:snoRNA from 14 species
UGUGUGUGUGUGUGUGUGUGUCUGUGUGUGUGUGUGUGUGUGUGUGUGUGUGUGNCACACACACACACACACACACACACACACACACACAAACACACACACACACACACAC